rnacentral:rRNA from 1 species
CCUACGGGAGGCAGCAGUGAGGAAUAUUGGUCAAUGGACGAGAGUCUGAACCAGCCAAGUAGCGUGAAGGAUGACUGCCCUAUGGGUUGUAAACUUCUUUUAUAAAGGAAUAAAACGAGGCACGUGUGCCUUUUUGCAUUUACUUUAUGAAUAAGGAUCGGCUAACUCCGUGCCAGCAGCCGCGGUAAUACGGAGGAGCCGAGCGUUAUCCGGAUUUAUUGGGUUUAAAGGGAGCGUAGAUGGGUUGUUAAGUCAGUUGUGAAAGUUUGCGGCUCAACCGUAAAAUUGCAAUUGAUACUGGCAGUCUUGAGUACAGUUGAGGUAGGCGGAAUUCGUGGUGUAGCGGUGAAAUGCUUAGAUAUCACGAAGAACCCCGAUUGCGAAGGCAGCUUACUAAACUGUGACUGACAUUGAUGCUCGAAAGUGUGGGUAGCAAACAGGAUUAGAUACCCCUGUAGUC